AGGGAUAACCUGGAGGAAGGUGGGGAUGACGUCAAAUCAUCAUGCCCCUUAUGCUUAGGGCUACACACGUGCUACAAUGGGUAGUACAGAGGGUUGCCAAGCCGUAAGGGGGAGCUAAUCCCUUAAAGCUACUCUCAGUUCGGAUUGUAGGCUGAAACUCGCCUACAUGAAGCUGGAGUUACUAGUAAUCGCAGAUCAGAAUGCUGCGGUGAAUGCGUUCCCGGGUCUUGUACACACCGCCCGUCACACCACGGAAGUUGGAGACGCCCGAAGCCGAUUAUCUAACCUUUUGGAAGAAGUCGUCG
rnacentral:rRNA from 1 species